CCCUUAGACGCUCUGGGCCGCACGCGCGCUACACUGACCAGUGCAACAAGCAUCCGUCCUUGGCCGACAGGCCCGGGCAAUCUUUGAACGCUGGUCGUGAUGGGGAUAGACUUUUGCAAUUUUUGGUCUUCAACGAGGAAUUCCUAGUAAACGCAAGUCAUCAACUUGCAUUGAUUACGUCCCUGCCCUUUGUACACACCGCCCGUCGCACCUACCGAUUGAAUGGUCCGGUGAAGCCUCCGGAUUGGCGCGCACCUCGGUGCCGCCGAGAAGUUGGCUAAACCUUACCAUUUAGAGGAAGGUGGAGUCGUAACA
rnacentral:rRNA from 1 species